rnacentral:rRNA from 1 species
CCUACGAGAGGCUGCAGUGGGGAAUAUUGGACAAUGGGGGGAACCCUGAUCCAGCCAUGCCGCGUGUGUGAAGAAGGCCCUCGGGUUGUAAAGCACUUUCAGUGAGGAAGAACGCCUGGUGGUUAAUACCCAUCAGGAAAGACAUCACUCACAGAAGAAGCACCGGCUAACUCCGUGCCAGCAGCCGCGGUAAUACGGAGGGUGCGAGCGUUAAUCGGAAUUACUGGGCGUAAAGCGCGCGUAGGUGGCUUGAUAAGCCGGUUGUGAAAGCCCCGGGCUCAACCUGGGAACGGCAUCCGGAACUGUCAAGCUAGAGUGCAGGAGAGGAAGGUAGAAUUCCCGGUGUAGCGGUGAAAUGCGUAGAGAUCGGGAGGAAUACCAGUGGCGAAGGCGGCCUUCUGGACUGACACUGACACUGAGGUGCGAAAGCGUGGGUAGCAAACAGGAUUAGAUACCCGUGUAGUC